rnacentral:lncRNA from 1 species
CAUACGGGCCUAUAAGACCAAAAUAACCACUCGUACACUGAACAUAGGCCGACAAGGCCAUAUAAUCUUUUAUGUACAUAACAUAUGUCUACAAGUCUCUAAGAAUACAUAAUUGUCAUAAAGGUCGGGAUAAAGUCCCGCCAAACCAAACAAUACACGUCUAAAUCAUACUGACCAAACAAGUAACUCCGGAGAAAAUGGAGCGCACCAACAUCUUUCGCUGAGCUGAGAGCCUACUUGGAGGGCUCUUGACCUGUCUAUCGGGACCUACGGGCAUGAAACGCAGUGUCCCCAGGCAAAAAGAGACGUCAGUACAAAUAAUGUACCAAGUAUGUAAGGAAUGAAAAUCAGUAAAUAAUAGACAUGAGAGAAACAUGGAGUAAAAGACUUGACAUGUACGUCUGCAUAGCUGUGUGAAUCAUUUCAUUUUUAUAAUGUCAUGCAUAUGCAUAUAAAUCUCAUACCAUGCAUAUGUAUAUUUGUUCAUAACAUCCUCAAGCCUCUGAGGAAAUCUCAUCAUAUCAUUUCGGCCACUGUGGGCAAUUCAUCAACGUAUACCAGCUGAUCAGGUGGUGGUGCGUAUAUAAUGCCAUAACCUUUUCUCAUAUCCCAGGUAUAUAAUGUACGUGUAUAUAAAGUCAUCUGGUCAUAGGUCAAUGUACAUGUAUAAAUGCAUGAAAUGCAUAAGAAAUACAUUAAUAAGAUUUUCUCGGAAUGUCAUAAAAAUAAUAUGCCUAUCGGAUAAAUUUUAUCAAAUACGUAUUUUUCUGAGACUCGUGAAUAGAAGAUAUAAUAAUAAUUCACAUGGGAAAUUAAGAAUAUAGACACCCCUAGUAUUUCUAUGAAUAGAGUCAUUUAUGUAAAUUGUACAUUUGCUCGUUUCGUUCGUGUCGUAUAGAUCAUGCCAAAAGGAAAGAAGGGAUAGCCUUAACAUACCUGAGCCAAUUUGCUUUUGCGAAAACACGUAACGGCGGAUCGAAGUUGAGAUAAAUCCAUAUGAAUCAUUGAAAUAUUGCACUGUCAAUUGUAUAUUCUUGCUAAGAUGCAAUCUCGUAUGAAUCAUUGAAAGAUUGUACCGUCUAUUGUAUAUUCUUGGUAAAAUGCAAUCUCGUAUGAAUCAUUGAAGUAACCCACGUUACUAUUAUUUUGUAUGAUUUUGCUGGAGUAAUUCAC